UUCCCAUCUCUUUGAAUGAGCAAUAGGCCAAGCACUCUCUUCUCUCCCCCUCUCUCUUAUUUUUCAACGGUUGGUAGACUGUAAAUAAAAGCAUAAACAAACAGCAAAUGACCCCUCAACAAGCUAUAUAUUUUAAAAAGUCCUGAAGCAGGAACCAAAUCUCUCUCUCCUCCCUAACCCCAAGCCGGUGUGCAGCUGCGGCUGCCCCAGCUGCUAUUGGAGCUCAACCAUCCAGAACUCUAGAGCGCUAGCUGUUCGUUGAUAGAAACCUUCCCGCUUCCCAUCCCGAAAGCCACAUCUCAAUCUUUUGCUGCGACCUCCCGAUCCGCGGUACUUCCGGCAUCGCGAGCCGAAGAUUGCCGCCGAUCCAUUGGGUGCUAGGCAUUUCUUUUCCUCCAGCAACAGCAAAGCAUCCAUCUUUUCGCCAACGGACUUGGAGAAAUGGGGUGCAUGAUGCUGCUUGGAGUCGACGCAAGCUUUAUGGAAGAUUUCUAGCAUAUGUUUUUGGCUGGACUAUUCAAU